CCUACGGGGGGCAGCAGUGGGGAAUAUUGGACAAUGGGGGCAACCCUGAUCCAGCCAUGCCGCGUGUGUGAAGAAGGCCCUCGGGUUGUAAAGCACUUUCAGUGAGGAAGAACGCCUGGUGGUUAAUACCCAUCAGGAAAGACAUCACUCACAGAAGAAGCACCGGCUAACUCCGUGCCAGCAGCCGCGGUAAUACGGAGGGUGCGAGCGUUAAUCGGAAUUACUGGGCGUAAAGCGCGCGUAGGUGGCUUGAUAAGCCGGUUGUGAAAGCCCCGGGCUCAACCUGGGAACGGCAUCCGGAACUGUCAAGCUAGAGUGCAGGAGAGGAAGGUAGAAUUCCCGGUGUAGCGGUGAAAUGCGUAGAGAUCGGGAGGAAUACCAGUGGCGAAGGCGGCCUCUGGACUGACACUGACACUGAGGUGCGAAAGCGUGGGUAGCAAACAGGAUUAGAUACCCUAGUAGUC
rnacentral:rRNA from 1 species